CCAGGCCUCACCCAGCUCCCACACAAUCUGAAGGGCCGGUCUCACUCCCACCAUGACCUCCACCCAACAGCACUGAGUCUGUUUCCACGUAGUGGGUGAGCAGGUCUGAGAACUUGCCCCAGGCUACCCACCUCCCAGCUGUGAAAGCAAAUAUGGCUUUUUUUUCUUCUCCCACCUGUGGAGUCUGCACACCAGAUUCAUGCCCUCCCUCGAGUUCUGGCUAGGAGGCUUCUCAGUCACUUCAAAUUGUUACAAAGUUCAGCUGGAGAUUUCCUUCUCCCUGUAGCCUUUCCCAAUGCCUCUGUCUGCCCUCCCAAAAGACCUCUGUGAGGCCAGGCAAAAACGGCUUGUUAGGGGACCCAGUGAGCUCCCAGUGCUUUUCCUGCUGCUUCUCCUAACACUGUAUGUUUCUUGGCUCUCUAAACUCACUCAGCUCCAGUGUUUCUGCAACAGCAUGAGCUCGGCCAGUGAAAUGCAGCUGGG
rnacentral:lncRNA from 1 species